rnacentral:rRNA from 1 species
AUUGAACGCUGGCGGCAUGCUUUACACAUGCAAGUCGAACGGUAACAGGGUGCUUGCACCGCUGACGAGUGGCGAACGGGUGAGUAAUGCAUCGGAACGUACCGUGUAAUGGGGGAUAGCUCGGCGAAAGCCGGAUUAAUACCGCAUACGCCCUGAGGGGGAAAGUGGGGGACCGAAAGGCCUCACGUUAUACGAGCAGCCGAUGUCUGAUUAGCUAGUUGGUGAGGUAAAGGCUCACCAAGGCGUCGAUCAGUAGCGGGUCUGAGAGGAUGAUCCGCCACACUGGGACUGAGACACGGCCCAGACUCCUACGGGAGGCAGCAGUGGGGAAUUUUGGACAAUGGGCGCAAGCCUGAUCCAGCCAUGCCGCGUGUCUGAAGAAGGCCUUCGGGUUGUAAAGGACUUUUGUCCGGGAGCAAAUCCUAGUGGUUAAUAACCGCUGGGUCUGAGAGUACCGGAAGAAUAAGCACCGGCUAACUACGUG